GACGAACGCUGGCGGCGUGCCUAAUACAUGCAAGUAGAACGCUGUAGGAGGAGCUUGCUCUUCUGGAUGAGUUGCGAACGGGUGAGUAACGCGUAGGUAACCUGCCUGGUAGCGGGGGAUAACUUUGGAAAAGAUAAGCUAUUCCCCCAAAACAUUAAUUUUUGCAUGAAAUUUCCUAAAAAGUUUCAUUGCCUUCACUACAAAAGGGCCCUGCGUUUUAUUAGCUAGUUGUGGGGGUAACGGCUAACCAAGGCGACGAUACAUAGCCGACCUGAGAGGGGGAUCGGCCACACUGGGACUGAGACACGGCCCAGACUCCUACGGGAGGCAGCAGUAGGGAAUCUUCGGCAAUGGACGGAAGUCUGACCGAGCAACGCCGCGUGAGUGAAGAAGGGUUUCGGAUCGUAAAGCUCUGUUGUAAGAGAAGAACGAGUGUGAGAGUGGAAAGUUCACACUGUGACGGUAUCUUACCAGAAAGGGACGGCUAACUACGUG
rnacentral:rRNA from 1 species